rnacentral:lncRNA from 1 species
AUGUGUGUCAAAUCACAAUUGAUCCUUAAUAUAAUAUACGUAUACAUAUUCGCAAAUGAAAACUCGGUCUCGAAAGUUACCGCAGCGGAAGCCACUGCCAAGGAGAUUGAAAGUCAGGCGGCCGCUCAAGUAUUCCGAGGCUGCACUUGGAUAUUUAGAAGGGGAUGCAUGCUCAUAUCCCUAGAUUCAAAUUCUGCAUUAGUGAUUUGUUUGGAUAUUGACCGUAAGCACCUUCUCAUCCAGAUUGAGCCAAAGGGUGUGAACUCAUCUCGCUGGAACAAGAGCACGCGUGCUCAUCCUGUAGUUCUAUUCCCACGAAUCAGCAGUUGGAGAAAUCUUCGGCUGGAGUUAGAGAGGGGGUGCAUGCUCAUAUCCCUAGAUUCAAAUUCUGCAUUAGUGAUUUGUUUGGAUAUUGACCGUAAGCACCUUCUCAUCCAGAUUGAGCCAAAGGGUGUGAACUCAUCUCGGUCCAUUGACAUCGAUCAGCAAUCGGAGAAGCACAAGAGUAUGUCAAGAGUGUCAGCUUCAGUGGAGAGAGAGCUUGUUCAUGAACAACCCACUGACGACGAUGCGUCUGCGCUGGCGUAUUUGGUUCGACGUCGGUGUCCAAACACGUAUCUCUUUUUUUAUGGACAUGCACUGGAGGACCGUGUUGUUCGGAUGACUUUUAUAGCUAAGCCGACCUAUUCCAGUAGGAGAAAAUACCUCAAUGACUUGCUAGAUGCUGAUCUUGUGAGCCUGAGUCGAGGUGACAGGAAAAGAUGGCAUAACAUGCGGGCUGCUGCUGAGGCUGCUGCUGAGGCAGCUGCUCAGGCUGCGAGGCUGCUGCUCAGGCUGAGCCUGCUGACCAUGCAGGCCAUGAAGACUAAACCUGAUGGUGCUGCCGGUUCUGUCUGUAGUUUAGAGCUGCAGUCGCUUAUCUACUUUCUACUAAUUCUAGAUCUUGUGAACUUAGGACAUUGUGCUUAUCAUGCCGAAUGUUUGGUGUUCUAA